rnacentral:rRNA from 1 species
UUAAGUUAAUAAGGGCGCACGGUGGAUGCCUUGGCACUAGGAGCCGAAGAAGGACGUGACAAACGACGAUAUGCCUUGGGUAGCUGUAAGUAAGCGAUGAUCCAGGGAUUUCCGAAUGGGGGAACCCAACAGGUACUACCUGUUACCCAUAUCUGUUAAGGAUAUGAGGAGGAAGACGCAGUGAACUGAAACAUCUAAGUAGCUGCAGGAAGAGAAAGCAAAAGCGAUUGCCUUAGUAGCGGCGAGCGAAACGGCAGGAGGGCAAACCGAAGAGUUUACUCUUCGGGGUUGUAGGACUGCAAUGUGGACUCAAAGAUUAUAGAAGAAUGAUUUGGGAAGAUCAGCCAAAGAGAGUAAUAGCCUCGUAUUUAAAAUAGUCUUUGUACCUAGCAGUAUCCUGAGUACGGCGGGACACGUGAAAUCCCGUCGGAAUCUGGGAGGACCAUCUCCCAACCCUAAAUACUCCCUAGUGACCGAUAGUGAACCAGUACCGUGAGGGAAAGGUGAAAAGCACCCCGGGAGGGGAGUGAAAUAGAACCUGAAACCGUGUGCCUACAACAAGUUCGAGCCCGUUAAUGGGUGAGAGCGUGCCUUUUGUAGAAUGAACCGGCGAGUUACGUUAUGAUGCGAGGUUAAGUUGAAGAGACGGAGCCGUAGGGAAACCGAGUCUGAAUAGGGCGCCUUAGUAUCAUGACGUAGACCCGAAACCAUGUGACCUACCCAUGAGCAGGUUGAAGGUGCGGUAAGACGCACUGGAGGACCGAACCAGGGCACGUUGAAAAGUGCUUGGAUGACUUGUGGGUAGCGGAGAAAUUCCAAACGAACUUGGAGAUAGCUGGUUCUCUCCGAAAUAGCUUUAGGGCUAGCGUCGACAUAAAGAUUCUUGGAGGUAGAGCACUGUUUGGGUGAGGGGUCCAUCCCGGAUUACCAAUCUCAGAUAAACUCCGAAUGCCAAAGAAUUAUGGUCGGCAGUCAGACUGCGAGUGCUAAGAUCCGUAGUCGAAAGGGAAACAGCCCAGACCACCAGCUAAGGUCCCAAAAUAAUUGUUAAGUGGAAAAGGAUGUGGGGUUGCACAGACAACUAGGAUGUUAGCUUAGAAGCAGCUAUUCAUUCAAAGAGUGCGUAAUAGCUCACUAGUCGAGUGACCCUGCGCCGAAAAUGUACCGGGGCUAAAACAAUUUACCGAAGCUGUGGAUCCUUUAGGGGAUGGUAGGAGAGCGUUCUAUGUGUGGUGAAGGUGUACCGUGAGGAGCGCUGGAACGCAUAGAAGUGAGAAUGCCGGUAUGAGUAGCGAAAGACAGGUGAGAAUCCUGUCCACCGUAAGACUAAGGUUUCCAGGGGAAGGCUCGUCCGCCCUGGGUUAGUCGGGACCUAAGGAGAGACCGAAAGGUGUAUCCGAUGGACAACAGGUUGAUAUUCCUGUACUAGAGUAUGUAGUGAUGGAGGGACGCAGUAGGCUAACUAAAGCAGACGAUUGGAAGAGUCUGUCUAAGCAGUGAGGUGUGAAUUGAGUCAAAUGCUUAAUUCUAUAACAUUGAGCUGUGAUGGGGAGCGAAGUUUAGUAGCGAAGUUAGUGACGUCACACUGCCAAGAAAAGCUUCUAGCGUUUAAACAUACUCUACCCGUACCGCAAACCGACACAGGUAGUCGAGGCGAGUAGCCUCAGGUGAGCGAGAGAACUCUCGUUAAGGAACUCGGCAAAAUGACCCCGUAACUUCGGGAGAAGGGGUGCUGACUGAUGUCAGCCGCAGUGAAUAGGCCCAAGCAACUGUUUAUCAAAAACACAGCUCUCUGCUAAAUCGUAAGAUGAUGUAUAGGGGGUGACGCCUGCCCGGUGCUGGAAGGUUAAGAGGAGUGCUUAGGAGUAAUCCGAAGGUAUGAAUUGAAGCCCCAGUAAACGGCGGCCGUAACUAUAACGGUCCUAAGGUAGCGAAAUUCCUUGUCGGGU